ACCCUGCAAGAUUUGAAACACUGGCUAUGGAUCCAAAGAAGAAGGAAGAGAUUAUAAACGACCUUGACGUGUUCAGAGAUGGAAAAGAGUACUAUGCCAAGGUUGGGAAGGCUUGGAAGAGAGGGUAUUUGUUGUAUGGUCCACCAGGAACUGGCAAAUCAACCAUGAUAGCUGCCAUGGCUAAUUUCAUGAACUAUGAUGUGUAUGAUCUUGAAUUGACAGCAGUCAAGGAAAACACUGAGCUGAAAAAAUUGUUGAUUGAAAUAUCCAGCAAAUCAAUCACAGUGAUUGAAGACAUUGACUGCUCUCUUGAUCUUUCAGGCCAAAGGACGAAGGAGAAAAAAGAAAAAGAGAAGAAGGGAAGCGAGGUAACACUAUCUGGGAUGUUGAAUUUUAUUGAUGGGAUUUGGUCAGCAUGUGGGGGAGAGAGGAUCAUCAUUUUCACAACCAACUUUGUGGACAAACUUGAUCCUGCUCUCAUUAGGAGAGGGAGGAUGGACAAGCACAUAGAAAUGUCCUAUUGCAGCUAUGAAGCUUUCAAGGUGCUUGCCAAGAACUACUUGGGUAUUGAUGACGAUUCACAUAGCUUGUUUCCCAUUAUUGAGAAGUUGUUGGGAGAGACCAAUAUGUCACCUGCUGAUGUUGCUGAGAAUCUGAUGCCAAAGACAACCACUGAAGAUUCUGAUACUUCCUUGCAGAAACUGAUUCAUUCUCUUGAGAGAGAUAGAAACAAAAAGAGGUGGAAAUGAAGUGUUUUACAAAUGAGGUGUGUAUGGCGUGAUUGAAGUUUAGUUUUAACUACUUUUCCUUCUUUUUCAAAGUAAUAAAUUGAAUUGUUGCUUAACUACAUUUAAAGAACUAGAAUUGCUGAAUUGUUCUAGUUCUUUUAGGCUAUUAUGUUUUUUUUUUUCCCUUGGAUGUUUAACUCACUUGAGAGAGUGUGUUCUCAAGAUCUCUUUUUAUUUUAAUAAAUUUUCAUUAAAAAAAUAUUUAUAUUCACGUCAAAUUCGUGUUAAAAAAAAAAAGAAAAAAAUGGUUGAGCAUUCACAUCGGUUUUUAGUCUAAUACUUUUCACAUCGGGUUUUAGUCUAACCGAUGUGAAUAGUAUACUUUUCACAUCGGUUUUUUGUCUAACCGAUGUGAAAAGUAUACACAUUUCACAUCGGUUUUUUUGUCUAACCGAUGUGAAAAGUAUACAUUUCACAUCGGUUGGCUGACUGAACCGAUGUGAAAAGUGUACAUUUCACAUCAGUUGGCAGACUGAACCGAUGUGAAAAGUGUACAUUUCACAUCAGUUGGUUGACUUAACCGAACCUUUCACAUCCUUUCACAUCGGUUAUAAACCCGAUGUGAAAAGGUUAGGAGAUACCACAUCAACAUUGUUUACAUCGGAUAAAAACCGAUGUUAAAACUCAAAAAUACCCGAUGUGAAAACUAGUUUUUCUAGUAGUGGUCAUUCUAUUUUAUGAAUGAUGAGUUCUUAAGAUGUUUUGGGCUAACAUGGAAAAGUUGUUUUUCCUCACAACAGUUGACUUGGUGUACAUUAAAAUUUCUAAAAUGUUCAUAAUACAAGAUAAUAUAAUUCAGCAAGUUUAUACUACUAAUUGAAAAAUCAUCAUCAUCAUCACACACGCAAACAACAAAUAAGUAAGGUUUUACUACAGUUAAAAAAAAGGUUUUUACUACAACCAAAUAUCACAUUUGAGUAUUUGGCAGUCACGCUGGAAUGGAUCACAACAAUUUCAAGAGAUUAGAAACUAAAGCCCCUUGAAUAAAAAAAGGUAAAAAAAAAGACAGAAAAAGCUUCAAUUUGAAAAAUGGUUGGAACCUGAUAGACAAAUUGUGAUUACUAAAAAAAAGUUCCUUUGAAAAAAAAAAUUCACCAAGCUUGUGGCAGGCAGCAACGGAGACAGAGAUGCAUAUUCAAUUAAAAUGAAGGGAGUACAAGACACAUGCUUUACCUCGGUGAGAGUCACGAGAAUAGAGGACUAGGCGAUCUUAUGAAGUUAUGAGGAGAGAUCCAUUGACUCCAAAUUUAUAUUAUUCCAAAUCUUGGUCCUCAAUUUUAUUCAAAAGUAAUAAUUGAGAUCAAAAUUUAAAAACUAUCGUGUGACCACUCAUAUUGCAAUUUACUUAUUUAUUUAAGCAGCAUUUAUUGCACUUUGCACUCCUUUGUCAUCUUGACAUUGCAUAUACAUUAUAUAUGUGAGAUGCUCCUAUUUCAGCUGACUAAAUGACUACUCGACCCACCAUCAUCCUUGUCGGUCCAAAUAACUACAUGAUCAAGUGACCAUCAAACUUGUCUGCUGGAAUGAUCAAAUGAGAAUUUUUCACACUUCUAACCAAUUGGCUUAACCACAUUUUCCAAUUACCUCCGUGACUAUUAUAAAUAUAUGUUUGAUGGUAUAUUUGAUCAAAUUGUAAGUUAAUCAUAACACAUAUUGCUCAUUAAUAACUCUUCUAAGCUUUGAGAAUUUAUUCUAAUAUUGAAUUGACUUAAGCGUUGGCAUUGGUAAUUGAUGACUCAGGAUUUAAGGUUAUUAUUCUAUAUACUUUUCACAUAGUUUUGUUUAUUAUUUACGAUGUUUUGGUCAUUUUAAGUCACUUUAAGAUUAUCCCACGCAUUUUACUAUUUUUAUGUGAUUUUUAGUAAAUUUCUAUAUUUUUAUGAUUUUUCUUAAGAUUUUAUUCGGAUUUUUUAUUUUAUUUUAACUUAGUGUCUUUUUCGUAUUUUAUUUUGCUAGUUUUAAUUUGUUUUAUUUCGUAUUCUCAAAUAAAAGGGGCAUAUAUUGAUUUCUAAUUUGUUUUAUUUAGUAUUCUCGGAACAAAAUAAAACUACAAAAAUAAAAUACUAAUUUAAAGUAAAAUUUAUCAACUAAAAAUAAAAUAAAUUAGAUAACUUAAAUCCUAAUAAAAUCUUAUAAAAUCAUAAAAAUAUACAAAAAUACUAAAAACCACAUAAGAAUUAAAAAAUAAAUGGAACAAUCCUAAAGGGACCUAAAAUGACCAAAAUAUCUUAAAUAAUAUAUAAAACUGUGUGAAAAAUAUAUAGGAAAAUAGUCUUAAAUCUCGGGUCAUCAAUAAUGAAGUCUAUGUUAACUUUGACCUAGAAAUAUGACCUAGAGUAAAGGAACUUACGAUUAAAUUAAAAGUCAUUUUCUCUUCUUGGAAAUUUAUGUUAUGAUUCAAAAUUAAAUAUUUGAUUGAAUUUUUAUUUUAUUAAAAUAAGAAGAGUAAUUUUAAAUUUAUUAUUUAUUAAAUACUAUAUUUUAAAGUUAAAGAUAGUAAACUGCAUGGGUGACGGAUUAGUGCACUGACUGACUAUGAGGUGAGAGAUUAAUCUUAUAGAUACCAAUAAUGAGGAAAUAUUGACUAAGAUAAAAAAAAGAAAGUAUGGUAAUUUAAGUUAAGAAAACUUUUUUCUUUCUCAAUAUCUUAUCUUUUAUUUGAUCGAAUUCCUAACUCUCGUGAAUGAAAGAAUUUUAUUGGUCGACAUCUUACCACUUAGUGCACCGAGACUAGGCGAUUGAUUAGUCUCACAACAAUCGGUUGUGGAAAUACCUCGGUUAACAUCGAAAAAAUUUGAUCCAUAUUUUAUCACCUUUAAUUUAUCUUAUAAUUCUAAAUUAAAACACUUUAUUUAUAUAAAAAUAUUUGAUUGAAUUUUUAUUUUAUUAAAAGAAGAAGAAGAAUGUUAAUUUUUUUUUUGAUGUUUCCCCACAACUCCAGCGUCCGGAGAGCUGGAUCAAACCAGAUGCGGGCUGGGUAAAAGCUAAUGUCGAUGGAGCUGUUGGGUCUAAUCUUGCGGCCAGCUGCGGGGGGGUGUUCCGGGACGCAGCAGGGAGAUGGAUAACCGGCUUUAGUCGUAACCAUGGUACUAUGGCAACAGAGAGCGCCUUCCUCACUGAAUUACUCGCGGUGGCAACGGCUGUAGAGCUAGUAAUAGCCUUGGAGAUCCCUCAGGUGAUAGUAGAAUCAGAUUCCAUGGAGGUGGUGAGUUUUCUCUGCUCUUAAGAUAUAUCUUCUCAUCGGUAUGCACAGAUAGCAUCGUCUGUUCUUCACCUUCAAGCAAUUCACGGAAGCUUAGUUUUCCAACAUGCACCAAGAACAGCCAACUACCUGGCGGAUUAUAUUGCCAAAAUUGGUUUGAAUCUCCCGUAUGGGACCCAUAACUUUGAUAGUCGGCUUUUGUACCCAAAUGGUAUAAUUUAUUUUGGAAAUUACAGCUUUGGGGUACUUUUUUUUUUAUUUACCAAACUAGUAUAAAUCGUCACUGUCAGUGGCGAUUCUAUUUUUUUUUUACUUUUUUAAAGAAUCAUCAAUGCUAUUGGCGUUUUUGUUUUUGUUUUUUUUUCGUUUUUUAAAUAAAUCGCCAACCAUGUUGGCGUUUUCUUUUCUUUUUUUUAAAAUUUUUUUUCCCCUUAAAAUCGCCAACACAGUUGGCGUUUUCUUAUUUUUUAUUUUAUUUUAUUUUUCUUAAAAUCGCCAACACAGUUGGCUUUUUCUACUUUUUGUUUUUUUAAUUUUUUUUAAAUAGUAAUUAGAAUGAUAUUUAAUCAAUUUUAAAAGACCAUAUGAAUAUUUUUAUAAAUAUAAAUGAGAAUUAGAGUAAAGCUAAGACAACUAUGUAUAAACAAAAGUCACAAUUUUACCUUGGAAAUUUAAGAAACAACUUAAGAAAUCUUCUAGUAAACAGAAGGAGCUCAAGUGUUCAAUCCAAACAUUUGUAUGUAUUUGUUGUGUAAGAAUAUGCUUAUGAAGGUGCAUAUUUAUAGGGUCUUAAUAUAUUAAAAUAUAAAAUAAAAAGCCAACAUGAUUGGCGAUUUGAAAAAUAUUGGAGGAAAAAACAAAAGGUAGAAAAUGCCAACUGGGUUGGCGAUUUUAAGAAAAAAAUAAAUAAAAGGAACGAUAAGAAAACGCUAACUGUGUUGGCGAUUUUAAAGAAAAAAAAAACGCCAACAUACGAUUUUAAGGAAAAAAAAUUUUAAAAAGAAAGAAAAGAAAACGCCAACAUGGUUGGCGAUUUAUUUAAAAAACGAAAAAAAAACGCCAAUAGCAUUGGCGAUUCUUUAAAAAAGUAAAAAAAAAGAAAUAGAAUCGCCACUGACAGUGGCGAUUUAUACUAGUUUGGUAAAUAAAAAAAAAGUACCCCAAAACUGUAAUUUUCAAAAUAAACUAUACCAUUUAGGUACAAAAACCUUGAUAGUCCGUUUGGUGAGUGUCAUACUCUUCUUAAUAGAGAUAUUGUCAUUAGUCCUAGUCCUAGUCCUAGUCCUAGUACUAGUACUGGUCCUUAGCUAGUCUUGCUUUUCGGGGUUAUCCCCUCCUUGUAACCAAGAAAAAAAAUGGCUUAAUUCCAGUUUGGGUCCCUGAUGUUUCACAAAUGUGCGGUUUGCACCCCCUGUGUUUAAAAUGUGCGGUCAAACUCCCUCAUGUUUCUAAAACAGUUGAUUGAAGCCCUUCCGUCUAUCUCUGUUAGUUGACCAAACGGAAAUGCUGACGUGUCACUUAUUUAAUUCAUAAAAUAUAGGCUACUAAUUGGUGACGGAAAUAAUCCGUCACAAAACCCUUCAGCCAAUACCUUUGUCUUCUUCCUCCUCACACAUUUCAGAAUUAUCACAUUCUUUUCUUUCAAACACGCUGCAACCAGCCACCAAAGGGAAUAAAAACCAGAAACCUAUAUAGACACAGACCGUACCAGAAUGCAGAAUCCAUUUUCCUGCAGAACCCCAUCGAUCCAAACCCCCCAAAAACCAACCCAGAUCCCAGAAACCUGUUCGUUCAUACCCAUAAACUUGUUUGUUCAUCGUUCAGAAUCAGAAACCUGUAAAGAAGCACAACUGCAAAGUAAAUCUAAUUUACUUGAGACCUACAUGUCAAAGGCACACAAAUGAACAGUUCAAGUUCAAAGAUUCUUUGAAUAACUAGUAAAGAUAGUGUCUUUAGGAAAUGAUUUGAGAAAAUUGAAUUCUGGAAGAUAAAGAAGCAAAAAACCAAACUUGCUAAGUUGAAGAUAAUUGAAAAAAUCUCAGCUUUAAAUAUUCACCUCACACUCUCGCAGACUCCCCAGUCCCCAACAACAGAAAAUUUAGAGAAUGGAAACAGAGCAUAGGAAAAUGCUAACCAUGACCAAUAGUCCAAGCCAUUGACUGAAAAUCAAAGAUAUUACCACUUCAGAAUUUUGGUAAGUGCAAAUAAAAUUUCGAGGUAAGAAAAAAAAAAAGAAACUUUCACUUUGAGUUUAGCAGAUCUUGAGUAAAUAGAGAAUACCCAAAUUGAUAUUUUUCUUGGGGAGUUGGGAAGAGAAGAUAGGACAGUUAAUAUCUUUGGUAAAUUAAGAAAAUAAUGAGUAUGAGAGGGAUAGAGAGUACAAAAAUUACUCAGAUGCAGCAAAAAGUAUGAGAUUUACCAGAGGGAAAAUCUUGAGUUAGGAGACAGUGUUACUUCCAGGAUCUGAGCUAUGGAAGCAGUUACCAGCUAAUUCGCCACAUGUGCCUGUGACAUAUCUUUGAGUGUUUUGCAGUUGUGCCACAUGAUUUGAGUGCUUUUCUGGUCUGGGAAGCUUUAAUUAUUUGUUCUGCAUUACCAGUACCUGCGAGAAAGAAGAAGAGGAGAAAAAGAAACAAGAAAUGUGUGAGGAAGAAGACAAAUGUAUUGGCUGAAGGGUUUUGUGACGGAUUAUUUCCGCCACCAAUUAGUAGCCUAUAUAUUAUGAAUUAAAUAAGUGACACGUCAGCAUUUCCGUUUGGUCAACUAAGUGAACUAACAGAGAUAGACGGAAGGGCUUCAAUCAACCGUUUUAGAAACAUGAGGGAGUUUGACCGCACAUUUUAAACACAGGGGAUGCAGAUCGCACAUUUAUGAAACAUCAGGGACCUAAACUGGAAUUAAGCCAAAAAAAAUCAAGCCUUCUCUAAAUGCUACUGUACUAUAAUUAUCUGGUGAUUCGCAAUUAUUAUAUUGCAAAUUUUUCCAAAUCUUAUUCAUUUGCAAAAUUAUACUCUUAGACUUGCAAUUACCUCCUUUAUUUAUAUUCAUUAAGGAAGAUUUAUAAAGUUACAACAUAGUGCCACUAAAAGAGUAAAUUUCGCCAACUUAGGUUGACACAAUUGACCAUAAAUUUCAGAUUGAACUCUUACCUUUUUAUAAAUUGAGGGUUUGAACCAUGUAUCCAAUAAAAUCUCAGUUUGUGGUCUUCCCAACAUGUCACUUAUGUCAAAUUGGGUUAAGCUUGUGCCACGUGGGAUGUGGCGUGGAUCACUGAGUUGAAACAAGUAUAAAUUACAACUUGUUCGGACACAUAAAAUAUUAGACAACAAAAUGAAAUAAGAAUCUCUGCACAUGUUUUGAAAAGUUAUUUGAUGUACAACAAACAAGUUAAAUUAUGGCUUGGUUAAACAAGUUAAAAUUUUGACUUCUUAUUUUUUUUCCUCCUUCCAUUUAUAUUAACUCCAUUUAUUCACACUUCUCCUACACUUCAACACACACAAAAUUAGCCAUCUAAAAUCUCUGCAAUCUUAAACUCUUGUUAAGUUUUUUAGUUCUACCACAAUUGUGAAGUUGUUGCUUUGGUCUAUUACAAUGGUAGAAAAUUUUAAGGCACGUAAAGUCAGAUGUUUGAAGACGAAAAGAAAUCCACUCGACUGAAAUACGGUUUAAGCGUGAACAACUUGAAAAGAAAAGAAUUCAUAUUAGGAGAAGAUACUAUUCAAAUUCUCUCUCACUAUUUGAAUAGAAGUGAAAAUUUGUGUGUGACAAAGUGUGCGACAAAGUGAGUGAUUUGUGUGUGUGAAAAAACUCGUGAGAGGGUGUGGUGUGUGAAAAUGUGUGUGAGAAAGUGUAAGUGAGAGAGUGAAAGGGUGUGGUGAAAUAACUCGUGAGAGGGUGUGGUGUGUGAAAAUGUGUGUGAGAAAGUGUAAGUGAGAGAGUGAAAGGGGCCGUGUGAAAAUGAGAGUGAAAGUGAGUGUGUGAAAAUGUGUGGAGCCAAGCUACCCAUGUGAGCCAAUCAGAUCAAACAAGUCAAAAGAAAAACUUAUUUGACCAUGAGUCCAUGACAAACCUCCUGCCCCACACAGUAUCUCCUCACAUCAACUAAACAUGUCUCAUGUCUCACACAGAUUAUUAUUCUCCUUUAUUUUAUUAUAACAGGUUAAAACUUCAGCAUGUUUGAACAAGUCAAAAAUUUGAAACAUCCGAACAAGUAAUAAUUCAAAAAAGUAAAUUUCAAUAUUUGGAAAUUAAUUACCGUGUUAAAUGAUUUUUUUGGAAACCCAAAUUAAUAGAUAAAGAGUAACGGGCAAGGCAACAACCCAGUACUGCAAAGUCUGUUACAAGGACAUGGAAAACCCAUAGCAAACUCCAAAAGCCAUGUGAAAAUUAAUUACCGCGUUAAAUGAUGACAGCUUUAAUAUACGGUAAUGGCUAAAAAACAAGAUAACAUCAGUAAAAACAGAAAGUAUCCUGGUUCUCUUCAUUUGGUAAGAUUAUGACAUGAAUUGAUCAGCUGCACAUGGAUAGCAAUUGAGAGGUUUGAUUCAAAUAGGAAAUAGAGAUAAAUUAAAUAGCACUUGAAUGCCAUUACCAACCCAAGACACUUGCAAUCUCAGUCGAAUACUAAUAGCGUGGUGUGAAUAAACCAAGGAAAAGAGAUUGAUUUUGGUAUUAGUCUUAUCUCACAGAAAAUGUUUGUUAUUAGUUUUAUCUCAUUGAAAAAGUUUGAUAUUAGUCUUAUUUCAGUGAAAUGAUGUUUAGAUAUAGGUUCUUUAUUUUAGAUUAGUACUAGUAACUUAUAACCAAAAGAAAAAAAAAAAGCUUAGGACUAGUAACUAUUAUGAUAGAGAAAUAUUCUCAUGAGAUUCAAGUAACUCCUUUAUAUAUAGUUAUCACUUAUCACAUCCCCUGAGUUCAUUGAACGAAAAAAACUUCUGAGCAAACAUUGCAGAGUAAGGAGAUGGGGUUUGGAGAAAUAUGGUCCCAACUAGGAUCCAUUAUGGCUAGCAUCAUGUUCGUGUAUGCCAUGUAUGAGCAGUUCUUCCCACCUCAUCUUGACAUCUAUGUUCGAAGGUUCACACACAAAUUCACAGGCAUUUUCUAUCCUUACGUCCAGAUAACUUUCCCUGAGUUCACAGGAGAGCAACUCAAGAGAAAUAAAGCUUACACUGCGAUCAGAACAUACCUCAGUGCAAAAUCAUCAAAAGCAGCAAGAAGGCUUAAAGCUGAGGUGGUGAAAAAUAGGCAGAACCCGCUCAUGCUUAGCAUGGACGACAAUGAAGAGAUCAUGGACGAGUUUGAGGGUGUCAAACUCUGGUGGGCUGCAUACUACACUGUCCCUAAGUCCCAGUCAAUUUCAUGGUACCCUUCUUCAGAUGAGAGGAGGUUCUUAACACUCACUUUCCACAGACGCCACCGGGAGCUCAUCACUACUACUUACAUCCAACAUGUGCUGGAUCAAGGCAAGGCGAUUGCAUCAAGGAACAGACAGCUGAAGCUGUUCACCAACAACCCCAGCGAUGAUUGGAAUGACUGGAAAAACACCAAGUGGAGCCACAUACCCUUUGAGCACCCUGCAAGGUUUGAAACACUGGCAAUGGAUCCAAAGAAGAAGGAGGAGAUUAUAAACGACCUUGAAAUGUUCAAAACAGGAAAAGAGUACUAUGCCAAGGUUGGGAAGCCUUGGAAGAGAGGUUACCUACUUUAUGGUCCACCAGGGACUGGGAAAUCAACCAUGAUAGCUGCCAUAGCUAAUUUCAUGAACUAUGAUGUAUAUGACCUUGAGUUGACAGCAGUCAAAGAGAAUACUGACCUGAAAAGAUUGUUGAUUGAAACCUCCAG
rnacentral:lncRNA from 1 species